rnacentral:rRNA from 1 species
GACGAACGCUGGCGGCGUGCUUAACACAUGCAAGUCGAACGGAAAGGCCCUGCUUUUGUGGGGUGCUCGAGUGGCGAACGGGUGAGUAACACGUGAGUAACCUGCCCUUGACUUUGGGAUAACUUCAGGAAACUGGGGCUAAUACCGGAUAGGAGCUCCUGCUGCAUGGUGGGGGUUGGAAAGUUUCGGCGGUUGGGGAUGGACUCGCGGCUUAUCAGCUUGUUGGUGGGGUAGUGGCUUACCAAGGCUUUGACGGGUAGCCGGCCUGCGAGGGUGAACGGCCACAUUGGGACUGAGAUACGGCCCAGAAUCCUACGGGAGGCAGCAGUGGGGAAUAUUGCACAAUGGGCGGAAGCCUGAUGAAGCAACGCCGCGUGCGGGAUGACGGCCUUCGGGUUGUAAACCGCUUUCGCCUGUGACGAAGCGUGAGUGACGGUAAUGGGUAAAGAAGCACCGGCUAACUACGUG